rnacentral:rRNA from 1 species
UACAGAGGUCCCGAGCGUUGUUCGGAUUCACUGGGCGUAAAGGGUGCGUAGGUGGUGAGGUAAGUCGGAUGUGAAAUCUCCGGGCUCAACCCGGAAAUGGCAUUGGAAACUACCUUGCUAGAGGAUUUGAGGGGGGAUUGGAAUACUUGGUGUAGCGGUGAAAUGCGCAGAUAUCAGGUGGAACACCGAUGGCGAAGGCAGUGGUCUGGGCCGGCACUGACGCUGAAUAGCGAAAGCGUGGGUAGCGAACAGG